rnacentral:tRNA from 1 species
GCGCCGGUGGUGUAAAGGCGUAGAGUGUUCCCGCCCGGUCAGAGGGAGAUGCGGGUUCGAGUCCCGCCUGGCGCU